AAAUGCGUUUACGGGAUGUGUUAGAUCUCGAUUACCUUUCCCAAGUCAUUACCUUCUUUUCCGGACUCUACGAACAACAGUACUCUGCCCUCUACGAACAACGGUACUCUGGACUCUACAAACAACAGUUCUCUGGCCUCUACGAACAACAGUACUCUGGCCUCUACGAACAACAGUACUCUGGACUCUACAAACAACAGUUCUCUGGCCUCUACGAACAACAGUAAUCAGGCCUCUACGAACAACAGUUCUCUGGCCUCUACGAAGAACAGUAAUCAGGCCUCUACGAACAACAGUACUCUGGACUCUACAAACAACAGUUCUCUGGCCUCUACGAACAACAGUACUCUGGACUCUACAAACAACAGUUCUCUGGACCCUACUCCGAAGACCUCAUAUAAACAACGUAGGAACACCAAUAAACACACCUCUAUUGAGGAACAAAAAAUUAAAAGACUAAACAUACUAUAAACAUAUUGAGGAACAACACUAUUCAAAAGCUUAAAAGACUAAACAUACUAGUAAACUUAUUGAGGAACAAAACAUUUCGGAGACAUAUUGAAGAAUACUCCUCUCCUCAUCCUCCCCUCUCCGAGGUCAAUUAAAUUUAGAUUCUUUAACCAUGACCUUUAGUCGAACGAACAAUGAGGAUUAAUUGACUUUUUCAAAGUCAAGUCAUAGAGAUUUUGUUUCAUGUGGAAGACGUCACGAUAUCAUGACGACAGGAGGGAUUAAACUUGUUCAUGUCAUACUUUAUGAGAAUAGAUGAGGAUCGUAAAGGAUCGUUCUUUAAAGUCGUUCGUUAGGUUCGUUCUUUAAAGUCGUUCAUGUUAAAGUCUGACGGCUUACCUGGCGGCCGAUACCCUGUAAUGAUACCCUAUGAAUACCGUUUUUAGAGAGACUGGUAGAUCGAAUCAACGAGAUUGUGUACAAUUUAAGUCAAUUUAUGACCGUCGUUCGUGAUGAGGUACAUUUCGUGGUUGUUUAAACCCCACGUGUUUUAAAUGACUUGCCCGAUAUCAAAAGCUUAGUCUUUGCGAUCGUAAAGGACAUCAAGACGUAUGGUUUAACUAUCAAAAGCUUAGGUACAACAACAUGUCUAUCCUUGAUGAGGAUCGUAAAGGACAUCAUCAGCCAAUGAGGUUUAUUUAAACUAUACACUUGUUUGUCCACGGAGAAGUUUAUUUACCUUCGUGUUUAUAUCAUUCACAGGACACAAGAAGAAAUAUGAGGUUCAGAGGUCCAUAUCGACACGUUCUACUUUAGGAUAGUAACCAACAAUGAGACAACUGACUUUCUUUUACCGUUCGAUGAUGACAUGACAUCUCCUCCGGGAAUUUAGAGAUUGAGUAAAAAAAUGUUAAGUCAAUCAGUAGGACACAGACUUUGAGACACAACUGACUUUCUUUACCGUUCGAUGAUGACAUGAAAUGUCCUCCAAAGAGAGAGAGGAUCCUAUAGUUUAAAUGUGUCAAUUGUAUAGUCGUUCCAAUUGAUGAGCUGUCGGUUAAACUAGAGCUGCCGGUGUUGAGUCUCGUCGUUCGUUCGUGCUCUUAACUCAUCGUGGCGUAGUCCCCUUGCUUUAGCUUUAACUUUGCUCUCUCA
rnacentral:rRNA from 1 species